rnacentral:rRNA from 1 species
GACGAACGCUGGCGGCGUGCUUAACACAUGCAAGUCGAACGGAAAGGCCUCUUCGGAGGUACUCGAGUGGCGAACGGGUGAGUAACACGUGGGUGAUCUGCCCUGCACUCUGGGAUAAGCCUGGGAAACUGGGUCUAAUACCGGAUAGGACCAUGCUUUAGUGUGUGUGGUGGAAAGUUUUUUCGGUGUAGGAUGAGCCCGCGGCCUAUCAGCUUGUUGGUGGGGUAAUGGCCUACCAAGGCGGCGACGGGUAGCCGGACUGAGAGGUUGGUCGGCCACAUUGGGACUGAGAUACGGCCCAGACUCCUACGGGAGGCAGCAGUGGGGAAUAUUGCACAAUGGGCGCAAGCCUGAUGCAGCGACGCCGCGUGGGGGAUGACGGCCUUCGGGUUGUAAACUCCUUUCGCCAGGGACGAAGCGUUUUGUGACGGUACCUGGAGAAGAAGCACCGGCUAACUACGUGCCAGCAGCCGCGGUAAUACGUAGGGUGCAAGCGUUGUCCGGAAUUACUGGGCGUAAAGAGCUCGUAGGUGGUUUGUCACGUCGUCUGUGAAAUUCCACAGCUUAACUGUGGGCGUGCAGGCGAUACGGGCUGACUUGAGUACUGUAGGGGUAACUGGAAUUCCUGGUGUAGCGGUGAAAUGCGCAGAUAUCAGGAGGAACACCGAUGGCGAAGGCAGGUUACUGGGCAGUUACUGACGCUGAGGAGCGAGAGCAUGGGUAGCAAACAGGAUUAGAUACCCUGGUAGUCCAUGCCGUAAACGGUGAGUGCUAGGUGUUAGACCCUUUCCGGGGUUUAGUGCCGCAGCUAACGCAUUAAGCACUCCGCCUGGGGAGUACGACCGCAAGGUUGAAACUCAAAGGAAUUGACGGGGGCCCGCACAAGCGGUGGAGCAUGUGGUUUAAUUCGAAGCAACGCGAAGAACCUUACCAGGUCUUGACAUCCCUCUGACCGCUCUAGAGAUAGAGUUUUCCUUCGGGACAGAGGUGACAGGUGGUGCAUGGUUGUCGUCAGCUCGUGUCGUGAGAUGUUGGGUUAAGUCCCGCAACGAGCGCAACCCCUAUUGUUAGUUGCCAUCAUUCAGUUGGGCACUCUAGCGAGACUGCCGGUAAUAAACCGGAGGAAGGUGGGGAUGACGUCAAAUCAUCAUGCCCCUUAUGACCUGGGCUACACACGUGCUACAAUGGCUGGUACAACGAGUCGCAAGCCGGUGACGGCAAGCUAAUCUCUUAAAGCCAGUCUCAGUUCGGAUUGUAGGCUGCAACUCGCCUACAUGAAGUCGGAAUCGCUAGUAAUCGCGGAUCAGCACGCCGCGGUGAAUACGUUCCCGGGCCU